rnacentral:rRNA from 1 species
AAUGAACGCUGGCGGCGUGCCUAACACAUGCAAGUCGGAUGUGCCUUUCGGGGUGCAUGGCAGACGGGUGAGUAACGCGUAGGGAAUCUACCUUUUCGUGGGGAAUAACGUUCCGAAAGGAAUGGUAAUACCACAUAAGACCAAUGGCUGGGAUGCUGUUGGUGAAAGCCGGGGACCUUCGGGCCUGGCGCGAGAAGAGGAUCCUGCGUCUGAUUAGCUAGUUGGUGGGGUAACGGCCUACCAAGGCGACGAUCAGUAGCCGGCCUGAGAGGGUGAUCGGCCACACUGGAACUGAGACACGGCCCAGACUCCUACGGGAGGCAGCAGUAAGGAAUAUUGGUCAAUGGAGGCAACUCUGAACCAGCCAUGCCGCGUGGAGGAUGAAGGUCCUCUGGAUUGUAAACUUCUUUUAUAUGGGACGAAAAAGGCUUUUCUAAGUCGUCUGACGGUACCAUAUGAAUAAGCACCGGCUAACUCCGUCGCCAGCAGCCGCGGUAA